CCUACGUGGGGCUGCAGUGGGGAAUAUUGGACAAUGGGGGGAACCCUGAUCCAGCCAUGCCGCGUGUGUGAAGAAGGCCCUCGGGUUGUAAAGCACUUUCAGUGAGGAAGAACGCCUGGUGGUUAAUACCCAUCAGGAAAGACAUCACUCACAGAAGAAGCACCGGCUAACUCCGUGCCAGCAGCCGCGGUAAUACGGAGGGUGCGAGCGUUAAUCGGAAUUACUGGGCGUAAAGCGCGCGUAGGUGGCUUGAUAAGCCGGUUGUGAAAGCCCCGGGCUCAACCUGGGAACGGCAUCCGGAACUGUCAAGCUAGAGUGCAGGAGAGGAAGGUAGAAUUCCCGGUGUAGCGGUGAAAUGCGUAGAGAUCGGGAGGAAUACCAGUGGCGAAGGCGGCCUUCUGGACUGACACUGACACUGAGGUGCGAAAGCGUGGGUAGCAAACAGGAUUAGAUACCCGAGUAGUC
rnacentral:rRNA from 1 species